rnacentral:rRNA from 1 species
UACAGAGAUCCCGAGCGUUGUUCGGAUUCACUGGGCGUAAAGGGUGCGUAGGUGGCAUGGCGAGUUUGAUGUGAAAUCUCCGGGCUUAACCCGGAAAUGGCAUUGAAUACUGCCGGUGCUGGAGGGUUGGAGGGGGGACUGGAAUUCUUGGUGUAGCAGUGAAAUGCGUAGAUAUCAAGAGGAACACCAGUGGCGAAGGCGAGUCCCUGGACAACACCUGACACUGAGGCACGAAAGCCGGGGGAGCAAACAGG